ACGGGUGCGUAACGCGUAUGCAAUCUACCUUAUACAGGGGAGUAGCCCAGAGAAAUUUAGGAUUAAUACCCACUAGUAUAAUUGAAUGGCAUCAUUUAAUUAUUAAAGUUCCAACGGUAUAAGAUGAGCAUGCGUCCCAUUAGCUAGUUGGUGUGGUAACGGCACACCAAGGCGACGAUGGGUAGGGGUCCUGAGAGGAGAUCCCCCACACUGGUACUGAGACACGGACCAGACUCCUACGGGAGGCAGCAGUGAGGAAUAUUGGUCAAUGGGCGCAAGCCUGAACCAGCCAUGCCGCGUGCAGGAUGACGGUCCUAUGGAUUGUAAACUGCUUUUGUACAGGAAGAAACACUCCCUCGUGAGGGAGCUUGACGGUACUGUAAGAAUAAGGAUCGGCUAACUCCGUG
rnacentral:rRNA from 1 species